CACGUAGGGUGCGAGCGUUAUCCGGAUUUACUGGGCGUAAAGCGCGCGCAGGCGGUGUCGUAAGUUGGACGUGAAAUCUUUCGGCUUAACCGGGAGGCGCCGUUCAAUACUGCGAUGCUACGAGGGCAGAAGAGGGGAGCGGAAUUCCCGGUGUAGUGGUAAAAUGCGUAGAGAUCGGGAGGAACACCAGUGGCGAAGGCGGCUCUCUGGUCUGCACCUGACGCUGAGGCGCGAAAGCGUGGGGA
rnacentral:rRNA from 1 species